UUCAGAUCCAUGUGGGGGCCAGAGACCCGUAGAGGUGGAUUAUGUGCUGGAGAUCAGAGUCUGCCAUAAAAUGAUUACCAGAGUUGGUAAUCUGAUCCCAGCUUCUGGGAAAGGCUGUGAGAACUCUCUCCUCCUAGCCCUUCCUGUCUCCUCCCCUCUGUGUGACAGGCAGAUGGGACUGGUCUGUCCCAUCUCUGACUGUCCUCUGCUUUGGGGCUCUUGUCACUCAGCACCCCAGCAUCCUGUGUCUUUAAGAUGAAGACAGAAGGGUGAAGUGGAAUCCAGCUCCUCAAAGUCCUGCCUUAAUGAGAGGCAGAGAGAGAUGAUAAUAAAAGCAGGAACCAGCCCGGGGGGGAAAAAGAGACGAUUUUUAUCCUCCCAACCCUGCAACGUCCCCCCUGGCUCUGCAAAGCCUCAGAAGAGUUCUCUCCGAACAGAUGAGUAAUAACCCAGCAAGAACGCCGUCCUCAGAGCACUGGGAGAAGACGGAAUGAUUCUGUGUUUGAUUAGAAUUUAUUUCCAACCUGCAGCCUCCCCAGUGCCAGCCUCCCACGCGUCCGCCCUGCAGAGCUGGGCAGCCAGAAAGGCAGGGAGGAGAAAGGAGCACAGGACCCAAGUCACAGUCAGAGGUGACGGACCAGGAGAGAAGAUGCCUCUUUCUCUUACUCCUGAAAGGGGUUGGGGGAGAGAGGCCCUGAGGGCUGCUGGGGGAUUCAUGAGGGUUGGGAAGGAUGGUUGAGUGGAGCAGCUGAGCAAGCUCGGCUCAUAGCUUGCUGUGUGCCUUUGUGUGACUCCUGGACCCUCUCUGGGUCUCACAUUCUUUCCUCUGGCUUCAUCUAGCUUUUAAGAGCUCUUAGAGGCUGUAAUUUUAGGACUGCUUCAAUCUCUGUCUCUGGGGAUAGAUUUACUUCUCACUGCUUGGCUUGAGGAAGUCAAGAUUUGGAUCUGACCUCUUCUUUUAAUUCAGCUCCAGGGGAUUGGGAUAAACACACCAAAUGUCUGUCCGUUCCUUUGUUCCUUCCACCUGUUUAUAUCACAGACUGCAGGCCUCAUGCUAUACUAGGUGCAGUGACGGGGUAAUCCCUGCUCUCAUGAAGCCCCUGCUGUUUUGGGAAAAGGGCAAGCACAGGGUCCUGGAGGAAGCCCCGGCACGGGUUUGGGAGGUCAGAGCAGGUUUUCUAAGGAAGCUGAUGUCUAAGCUGGAGCCUGAAGGUGAACAGGGGGAAACCAGGAGAGGAUGCAAGGGGAGGGAGAGCCGGAAGAGAGAACGGUCUCUGCAGGAGUGAAAGCAGUCAGGGUGUGAGGGAUGGAAACACACUGGUGUGACAGAAAGAAAGCAGGCCUAGCGGGUGGGGUAGAGGGUUCAGAUUUCACCCCUUGGGGUCCUUGAUGGCUCCCAAGCAGCAUCUCUCUGGGAAGGUAUCUGGAUUGUGUGAGGGAUUGUGUGGAUUGACUUCUCUAGCAUGGAUCCAGGGCUUCAGUGGGUAGAAGCUUUGGAGAGACAAAAUGUGUCUCUAGAACAGAGUCCUUCAGUGCUGGAUCUGGCUGCCCUAGUGGGACAGAGCUCUUGUCCACAGAGUAGCUGAAUGGCCAUCUCUCCAAGCUCUGGAAGGAAGGAUGCCUGGGAUGGACAGACUUUCAUCUUGCAGUGAACAGGGACAAGCACUGGAGGAAGAACAGAUCUGGCUUCCCAGUGUUGGCUCUGCCACACACGAGCUGUGCAACCUUGGCCAUGUUAAGUAAGCUCUCCUAGAGCUUAUCUGUGAAACAGAAUUAGUAGCACGCUCUUCCCGAGAUGGUUUUGAGAGUUAAACAAGUAAAUGAUGGUGGUGGUGGUGAUGACUGUCACAGUGACGACAGUGGUGAUGAUGGUGGUGGUAAUGGUGCUGGUUGUGGUGAUGAUGAAGACAUUGACAGCUCGUAUUUAUUGAGCCAUAAACCCUCUUACUGGUUGGUGCUCGGCCCUGCUGAGGUCCUCAUUUGGGGACCUAUACUCACCCCACAGUUUCCAGGAGUGUUGCCCCUGAGUGAUUCCCUAGAAUUGCAGCCCCUGGGUGCAGCCCUCUGGCCUUGGCAUGGGAGAAUCUCAAGGGCGGUCCUGCUUGAGGUUCCUUUUGUGACCACAGCAGAGCAGGUUCAGGUCUUCCGUGGCUGGGUCCAUCUGCGUCUCACCCCCCUACUUGGUAUAUCCAGACCUGUCCCUGAUGAGUCUCUUUAAGAGCAAAUGCUUAUCUUGAAAGCUGUUUUUCAGAAAUUCAACUGAUGACAGCAUUUUGCCUGGCCCCUGUCACCCUGCUAACAGCUCUGCGGUGAGGACAUCACAAUGGAACCGCUCUUACACAUUGCCAACUAUGGAGUAAAGAGAUCAGAUCUCUCUUGCAGAUGCACGGGGAAGCAGAGGCAGAAGUUGGAUUUGAACACAGGCACACCUGGUUCCUGAAUCUGUGCUUUUGACUACCACAUGGGGCCUGGCUGGUGACAGGCAGUCAGCAAAGGGCAGUAUGCAGUGAGCAUCCCUUCCUGGCCAGGAUUGUAGCCAUAGAUGGCUCUGGACCACUGCCACUUGCUCUGAGGUCCCCUAUCCCUGAUCACAGCAGCAGCCAGGAUAGUAGCACGGCGGCAGCAGACUUCGCAGGCCCCAGCAUGCCAGCAUCUUGGUAGAAAACAACACCUCGCUAGGCCACCCACUCCCCAGCUGCCGAUGUCACACCAUUGUUGCUGCCACCAGGGUGGGUGUCUUUGCCUGAGCGUUGCUUCACAUGUGGUUGGCGCAGCUGUGAAAACUGCUGGCAGGAAGGACUUGUAAUCUCAUGUCACCUUAUGGGAAGCUGGAGGCCUUAGAUGUCCUGAGACCCCAGCAUGACCCAGGUUCUGGCCAGGUCUGGGUGGUGACUGAGUCUUGAUUGUGAUGAGACCUGAAUUCCAGCCUCAUAUACUACUUUUUCUGGUUUAAGAAUUGUUCUGGACUUUAGUUUCCUGCCCAAAGGUGGGCAGUGGGCCUCUAAAGACCCUUCCCAAGCUGGUAAAGCGGAGGUCACCUCUUUGGAGGUUUACCGGGCUUUUGAUUAUUUCUCUUUCAUCCUCUGAAUGACCAAAAGGCAUCUCCUCAUUCACGAGAUCAGAGUUUUAUAUUUCAUAAAGCAUCUUCACAGACAUGGUCUCAGUCAGCCCCACAGCAAUGAGCUGAGGGCAGCAGGGUCACCUUUCUAUGUCAGAGGAUAAAUAGAGGCAGAGAAUGGAAGGGAUUUACCUCAAGCCAGCUAAGUCUUUGGAAAAUUCUUGCAAUCUCUUCAUUUUUAAACUUACAAUUAAAAUACUGUAUGAAUGGUACUGCAUAUCAAAUCCGAGAGACAGUUUGGAAGUCAUCUGGUCCACAGGGCACAGUGGUGCACAUCUGUAGUUUCAGCUACUUGGGAAACUAAGGCUGGAUUUCAAGGUUAAGGCCAACGUGGGCAUCUUAGUGAGACACUGUAACAAAAUAAAAUUUUAAAAAACAACUGGGGAUGUAGUUCGGUGCUCCCUUGGGUUCAAUCUCUAGUACUACAAGCAAGUAAACCAACCAAUCAACCAACCAACCAACCAGGCAACCAGGCAACUCAGAAUAAAAGUUGAAGAGGAAGAGGAGGACAAGCAGGAGGAAGACCUCGUCAUCGUAUCUAUUUGCUGCACAGACAGGCAGCUGAGGCUGUACAAUGCCCAGUACUGGCUGAGCUGGGGCCAGAGCUGCACCUGGGCUUCAUUUAAUUCCUCUGGCUUGGGUGCUUUUCAAAUUUCAUGCCCUGAAUUAUUUCACAUUUAAGACUAAAAACCUAAAACCUAAACCGCUAAUGAGGAGGUCAGUGCUGCACAAGCUUGGGGACAUGUUCCUCCCGUCCUGAUUGCCUACUGGGACGACGGUGGAGUGGAGCGGAGCCUCGGCCCUCUCACCCUGCAGCACACCGCUGGUGGGUGUGUGCGGGGGAGCUGUGUUUGUGUAUUUAUUUCCCCUUCGUGGUAGCACAGGUGGCCCAGGGAGGAGGUGAGGCUGAGCAGCAGGAACAAAGAAAUGUGUGUGUUCUGACAAAUUUGGGGAAUUAACUUUGAGGUUGUUCCAAGGAGAAAAUGAUAUUUUGAAUCAGGAGUUAUUGUACAUCGGAGCUCACUGCCUUUUAAAAAACACCUUGUUUACUUAAUGGUUCCAUUUACAGAUUUCCCGACACCCGAAUCAGUUUCAAAAAGAAUCUGGAACGGCUAAUUCAGAUUUUCAGUUAGAUUGUGAGCUCCCUGAAGGUAGGUAAUACCUUCAUUACCUCUUAUCUGUUCUAAAAGGCUAAUUCCUUGCCCUUACCCUUAGCCCACCUGAGCUGGAUUCUCUACCUCCGUCUUUUAUAACAAUCUGUUUCUAUGUCUUUAUUCUCCAUUGAUCUAUGAAUUCAGUAAGAAGAGGGUCUAUACAUUACAUCCAUUCACUUAUCCAUCCAUGUGACAGCAAUUACCCAUCCAUCCAUCCAUCCAUCCAUCCAAUUAUCUAUCAAUAAGCCAAACACCCAUCUAACAAAAUGUCUAUCAUCAACCCAUCUACCCAUCCAUCAUCCAUUUAUGCAAGCACUCCCGUCCAUUGUUCAUCCAUUCACCUGUGUAUCCAUGCAACUAUCUAUCCAUUCCUUUAGAGCUCCAGAAAGUUGCACACACAGGGUGUGCUGCCAGUGAUUAUCCCGUACCUGGUGUCACAUUCACUGUAAUCACUGCCACAUGUAGCACAUACAUUUGCUCACGAAGAAAAGGAAGCCAAAACCUGCCAGACUUCAUGAAGUGGAAUUACUAGUCCCAUACUGGAGUCUACAAAAGAAAGGUUCAGGAAGUUUUAGUAAUUUGCGCAGGUUCACAUGGUUGUUCAGUAGGAACUGGGCCUCUGACUCCAGAGCCUCUGGUCUGGGUCUUUCCCCUCACUAUGGUGGGAGAUAUUCUGGGGGCAGUGAUCUAACCCGCGUGUACCCCGCCCAGCAACGUAAACCUCCCCACAGCCACCCCUCAUCGCAAGCUGUGGCCAGCUGUCUGCUACCUCUGUCCCUUCUUUGUAGGGGCUGUUGUUCCUGACUUGAGUCCCUGGGGAGAGAGACAGGGAGAAGAGGUUGUGGGGGACCCACAGCCACGUUUGGGCAGCGCCCUCUUCUCGCUUUCUGUCCUCGAGGCUCAGAGCAGCCUGAGGCAGGUAGCUCUGCUCGGAGUGAGCAGUGGCAGGGUCUGUCUGAGUUGCCCAGGUUGGUCUCAAACUUGCAAUCCUGCCUCAGCCUCUUGAGUAGCUCAGAUUCCAGCGGAGUGUCAACACGCCCAGAUCUGCAAGCUCUUUUUGCUGCAGAUGCAAUGAGCAGCAACACGCCAGGGAGCUACCAGGCAGAGCUGGGAUCUGUCCCUGUCCUGCUUCUGUUUGUUAGGUGGACGUGGAUGCAGGAUUUGGGGGUGGGGAGGAAGAUAAACCAAAGCCACUUUUGAAGGUAAGUAGGUGUCACCUGAAUUCUUUUGGAGAGCUUCUAUUGGGGGGUGUGUUUUGGUUACCCCUAAAGGUGCCAAGUGGGAGCUGGGAAUGAGGAGUGACCCUAAUCUGGGAAGAGAAGCCACUGAUCUUCUCUGGAGGAAUACGCCUGAGGCUAAUUCAUUAGAAAGUUCAGAGACCUGGGAGCAACCCCAGAGGAGAAUAGCUCACGGAAGAAUUCGGAGGUCCAGAGACAGUAGAGUGACCUAAGCCAGGGAGUUGAGGUGGCAGCGUGUCCCUGCCCAGUGAGACCCUCAUACAGCGUUCUGAUGUGAUGGGCAACGAGGAACACUGACCUGGCCCGUAGUGGGGCUCCGUACAUAGUUGCCAAGUAGAUGAAAGGAAGCGGUCUAAGGAAGGAAAGGCCCGACGAACUGCAUACUGAAACUCAGUUUGGAUCUGGAAGAAAACAAAUAAUGCAUUGUUGGAUCAGUUGUCAUUACAGCUUAGCUCACAAGAGUGUGACUUUCUUCUGCUCAGAAGGUCCUCAGGGCCAUUCCUGGGUCACCCUCCUGCAGCUGGACCACUUCUGGUAUGUGCAUCCUAGGGGUACCAGGGAGUGGCUGUUUUCAAACCAUAGACGGUGCUGAGCAUGCAUUUGUGCAAUGAGGACUUGGAGCUUGGACACAGGGGCUUGGAAUCAGCGGUCCCAGGCCCAGCCAGUGCCAAGGCGGGGUCUGGCAGCCCAAACCGUGCCCCUUCCUACCUUCUCACAGGAAAGAGGUGCUCAGGUGUGGAGGCAGGGAGGCUGGAGUGUGGGACCGGAGACCUCUGUAUUGAGGAUGCGCUUGUCCUCUGGGCCUGGAGCUGUUUUUUCUGCUGGUACCACCUGAGUAGGAAUAGGCUCUGUGUCCAGGAGAGACGAGGAGUCUGAGGUGUCUCUCCCCAGGCUCAGGUGGCCCUUCCAGGACCCCCAUACCUCUGGUGCAAUGUCUGGCUCUGCCCAGAAGCUGAGGUGGGGACUGGAGGGAAGAGAGCCCCAGACCGCAUCCCAGGCCAGCUCUGUGGAGUGGUUGCUAAAUCAAGCAGCUAAGGGCCGGAACUGGGAGGCUAUCUGGGUGCCUGAGAAGCAGGCUCAGCCCCGGGCAGACUCCCUGGUUUGCCCAGGGCGCUGGUUUGCCCCACAGGGAAGGUGGCAGAGCUGGAUUGGAAACCUGAGAUACCUCCCCCGCCUUUUUCUUUUAUCAGGUACCAGGGAUCAAACUCAGGACUGCGCGCUUGCAAGGCAGGUGCUUAUGCCACUGAGCUAAAUCCCCAGCCCUGCCUCCUUGUCCUCCUCGUCCUCCUCGUCCUCCUCUUCCUCCUCGUCCUCCUCUUCCUCCUCGUCCUCCUCUUCCUCCUCGUCCUCCUCGUCCUCGUCCUCCUCCUCUUCCUCCUCCUCUUUUAAGUUGCUUUAUUGAGGUAUAAUUUAAAUACGAGAAAAUAAAUUUCCAGUGUUGUGUUUGAUGACUUUUUGUUUUUCUUGCAUUUCUUUUUUUUUGAGACCAGGUCUCCCUGUAUAAUUCAGACUGCCCCUGAACUCACUCUGCAGUCCCGGCUGGCCUUGAACUUGCACCAUUCUUCCUGCCUCGGCCUCCCAAGUGCUGGGAUUGCAGGCAUGCACCACCACACCUGGCAUUUGAUGAGUUCUGAGCAUGAACCACAGUUGUGUUACCACAGCUGCAAUUGGGAUGAAAAGAAAGCCAUUUCUCUCUAUUAGGAUCUGUUUUCCAUUCACAGUACUCAGACACCAAAUGCUGGGGUUUUCUCCUCCAUGCUGAGAAUUCCCGGGUUCCCUGGGGAUGUGCCAACUGAGUGACCUGCAGUUGAGCUCCAUCCCCUUGGAGUCUGGGCAUAAACACAGAUAUGAUUGCGAGUUAAAAAAAGAUGGCUCCUCUCACCUCCAUCACUGAGGAGACGCUAAGGAUUUCAGAAGCUCCUGUGCCAGGAACCUGGAAGAAGCACCAAUACCACUUCUCACCACAGGACAAUGUCACACGUUUUCAUCACUUCAGAGAGUCCCCCUGUGCCCCUCAGCAGUCAGCCUCCUCCCCCAUGCUGGGUGACCACCAGACUGUGUUCUGUCACUGUAGCAUUGCCCUUUCUAGAUGUUCACAUAAACGGAAUCAUGGCGAGGUCUUCUGUGUGUGGCUUCUUUCACUCAGCACGGUUGUUUAGAGACACUGUCCUGCUGCUGCAUGAGCGAGUGGACUUCCCUUUUCAUUGCUGCAUUGUAUUCUGCCGCACAAGAGCACCUCAUUUUGUCCACUUGCUAGUGGAUGGAUGUGUGGCUUGUUUCUGCCUUUGGGUUGUUAUCAAUAAAGCCACUGUGAACAGUU